rnacentral:lncRNA from 1 species
CUUGAGUUUUCUGAGAAUGUCUCAGAUCUAAAACUCCUUCUCCUACUUCUCAUCUUUAGAAGAGUCUAAAUUAAGAAGAAGAAGGCAUCUGAUCGACCAUCGAAGAAGGAUAAGCGUAGUACUAGCAUACUAUGCUGAUUUUCUGGACAAUAACUUUUGAUCGUGAUUCAUGGGCUCGUAUGGAUGACUCCUAGAGGUCGGAUACAUGUGCAG